rnacentral:rRNA from 1 species
GACGAACGCUGGCGGCGUGCUUAACACAUGCAAGUCGAACGGAAAGGCCCUGCUUUUGUGGGGUGCUCGAGUGGCGAACGGGUGAGUAACACGUGAGUAACCUGCCCUUGACUUUGGGAUAACUUCAGGAAACUGGGGCUAAUACCGGAUAGGAGCUCCUGCUGCAUGGUGGGGGUUGGAAAGUUUCGGCGGUUGGGGAUGGACUCGCGGCUUAUCAGCUUGUUGGUGGGGUAGUGGCUUACCAAGGCUUUGACGGGUAGCCGGCCUGAGAGGGUUACCGGCCACAUUGGGACUGAGAUACGGCGCAGACUCCUACGGGAGGCAGCAGGGGGGAAUAUUGCACAAUGGGCGGAAGCCUGAUGCAGCAACGCCGCGUGCGGGAUGACGGCCUUCGGGUUGUAAACCGCUUUCGCCGGUGACGAAGCGUGAGUGACGGUAAUGGGUAAAGAAGCAACGGCUAACUACGUG